CUACGGGGUGCAGCAGUGGGGAAUAUUGGACAAUGGACCAAAAGUCUGAUCCAGCAAUUCUGUGUGUUUGAUGAAGGCCUUCGGGUUGUAAAGAACUUUAAGUAGGGAAGAAGAAAGUGACGGUACCUACAGAAUAAGCGACGGCUAAAUACGUGCCAGCAGCCGCGGUAAUACGUAUGUCGCAAGCGUUUAUCCGGAAUUAUUGGGCAUAAAGCGCGUCUAGGCGGUUUACUAAGUCUGAUGUGAAAAUGCGGGGCUCAACUCCGUAUUGCGUUGGAAACUGGUAGACUAGAGUAUUGGAGAGGUAGGCGGAACUACAAGUGUAGAGGUGAAAUUCGUAGAUAUUUGUAGGAAUGCCAAUGACGAAGGUAGCUUACUGGACAAAUACUGACGCUGAAGCGCGAAAGCUAGGGGAGCAAACAGGAUUAGAUACCCGAGUAGUC
rnacentral:rRNA from 1 species